rnacentral:rRNA from 1 species
UACGUAGGGUCCGAGCGCUGUCCGGAAUUACUGGGCGUAAAGAGCUCGUAGGUGGUUUGUCGCGUUGUUCGUGAAAACUCACAGCUCAACUGUGGGCGUGCGGGCGAUACGGGCAGACUGGAGUACUGCAGGGGAGACUGGAAUUCCUGGUGUAGCGGUGGAAUGCGCAGAUAUCAGGAGGAACACCGGUGGCGAAGGCGGGUCUCUGGGCAGUAACUGACGCUGAGGAGCGAAAGCGUGGGGAGCGAACAGG